GAAAUGCGAUAAGUAAUGUGAAUUGCAGAAUUCCGUGAAUCAUCGAAUCUUUGAACGCACAUUGCGCCCUCUGGUAUUCCGGGGGGCAUGCCUGUCCGAGCGUCAUUACGCACCCUCAAGCGCGGCUUGUGUGUUGGGCCCCUGCGUCCCCGCGUUCCUGGGGGACGGGCCCGAAAGGCAGUGGCGGCGUCGCGAUCAUCCGAUCAGCCAGAGCGUAUGGGGACUCUGUUCACACGUUCGGGGCGCGGACCGACGCCUGCCCGGUCACCGACCGUUUUUCUUCCACGGUUGACCUCGGAUCAGGUAGGGAUACCCGCUGAACUUAA
rnacentral:misc_RNA from 1 species